rnacentral:rRNA from 1 species
ACGCUCGACACCUACUGGAGGCAGCAGUGGGGGAUAUUGCACAAUGGGGGAAACCCUGAUGCAGCAACGCCGCGUGAAGGAAGAAGGUCUUCGGAUUGUAAACUUCUGUCCUCAGGGAAGAUAAUGACGGUACCUGAGGAGGAAGCUCCGGCUAACUACGUACCAGCAGCCGCGGUAAUCUGAGCGGGCUGGCAAGGC